UAAGCGCCUCCUUUGGACCUGAAAGGAGGGGAAAGUGAAGUCAGUAUUUGCUUUGCACUUUCACAGAGUAGACACACGGUGGCUGUUCCAUGGGAGUGUCUAAAACAUGAGUGUGAGGCGUGCAUUCAUCCCAACGUGUCAGGACGUGCUCGUUGUGACACGUGCCUGCGCCUGGAGGUCAGCGAUGGUGGCAAAGUAUCCGUCGAGAUCUCUGGACACGGAGGUUCUCUUCUCACAGAACUCUCUGAUCUGCAUCUCCAGCUUCCCGUUGGCCGCUUCCAGGGAUUUAACCUGCACACACAACCAGAAACGGUCCUCAUGUGACUGUUUAUAAAACUACUAGAGUGAGGACACUUUGGGUGGACCUACAUUUUUCUAAAGGCUGAGGGUUAAGACUUGGUUUUAGGGUUAGGGUUAAAGUUAGGUUUAGGUUAGGCAUUUAGUUAAUGUCAAUGAAUGUCCCUACUAAGAAAUAAGUACAAACGUGUGUGUAGGGUUAGGGGGGGUCAGGGUUAAGGGGUUGGGUUAUGUUAUAUGUUGUGUGUGUGUGUGUGUGUGUGUGUGUGUGUGUGUGUGUGUGUGUGUAUGUGUGUAUGGGUGCAUUCCCAUGUAAUAUAAAGUCGUUGAACCUGUGCAGCUAUCAUCCUCAUGGCUUACCUUCACCAGGUAGGAGGCCAGCCGGUCAUUGAGGUUCUGCAUGGUCACCUUCUCAUUGCCAAUGACUGCAUAUUCGUUCCCACACACUAACCCACUGUCGAAGGAGAACGCAGACUGGGAGAUGCGGGUCCCGUAACCCCCUGCUCCUCCAUACACGCUGGGUGUGCUGCCCAGGAUGGCGCUGCCGGUGGACAUGCGGGUCUGUCUGCCUCCGAGCAUCUGCAUCCCUCCGCUCAGGCUCAUGGCGCUGGAGCCAGAGAUGCUGCGGGAGCCAGAGAUGGUUCGGGAGCCAGAGAUGCUGCGGGAGCUGGAGCUGGAGAUGCUGCGGGAGCCGGAGAUGCUGCGGGAGCUGUAGAUACUGCUUUUGCCGACGAGGGCUGAAGUCAUGGUGAGAGGUGGAUGGUGCAAGUGGAGGCCGGUGGAGAGCUGGAAGGCUUGUGUAGCGGCUCUGUGCAGACUGCUGGGCUUUUAUAGAACUGUGAAAGCGUCAGGUCGCCGGCCACAACUAUGCGAG